CCUAGGCUCGACACGUGCCCAGGCCUGGUACGGCACACGUGCUAGCCCAUUUGGCACGAUACAUUUUUAAAGUUUUUAUUUUAAAAAAAUAAUUUUUAUAAAAUAAAAUAGGUUGGGGGAUAAAUAAAAAAAAGAUAGGAGAUAUUGAAAUUCUUUUUUGUAAAAGUAAAAAUCACCUUGUAAUAGUGGAGGAUUUGGUAUGGACCCCUACUAGUUUAUUAAUAUAAAUUAAAAUUAUACAAAAGAGAGAAGAGGGCUAGGCCUGACCUCCAGAAUACAACGAGAGAGAGAUAAGAAAAUAAAGGUAACUCACCUCAACAAAUAAAAAAUAAAAAUAUAUAUUUUAAGAAAUUAAGAAUUAAAAAUAAACCUUAUUAAUUGUCUAUUAUGUUUGUGUCAUCCUCGUCAUCGGAUCCAGUAUCAUAUUCUCCUUUAUCCUGAAGUUUUGUCUCCACAUCUAGUCAAUCUUUAAAGCAGGACAGUAUCUCAGUUAUCUCGCCC
rnacentral:lncRNA from 1 species